AGAGUUUGAUCCUGGCUCAGAGCGAUCGUUGGCGGCAGGCCUAACACAUGCAAGUCGAACGCAUCUUCGGAUGAGUGGCGAACGGGUGAGUACAACAUGGAAAUCUGCCUCGGGGUGGGGGAUAACUUCUGGAAACAGAAGCUAAUACCGCAUACACCGCAUUGGGAAAACUCCGGUGCCCUGAGAUGAGUCCAUGCCUGAUUAGCUAGUUGGUGGGGUAAAAGCCUACCAAGGCAACGAUCAGUAGCGGGUUUGAGAGGAUGAUCCGCCACACUGGAACUGAGACACGGUCCAGACUCCUACGGGAGGCAGC
rnacentral:rRNA from 1 species